AAACAUGUCUUUUUGAAUUUUAUUUAAAGUCUAACCUGCCCACUGAAAUUUAAAUGGCCGCAGUAUACUAACUGUGCAAAGGUAGCAUAAUCAUUAGUCUUUUAAUUGAAGGCUGGUAUGAAUGGUUGGACGAAGUAUUAACUGUUUCAUGAAAAAUUUUUAUAGAAUUUUAUUUUUUAGUCAAAAAGCUAAAAUUUUUUUAAAAGACGAGAAGACCCUAUAAAUCUUUAUAUUUUGUUUAUUUUAAUUUAUUAGAUAAAUUUUGUUAUUAUAAAUUAAAAUAUUUUAUUGGGGUGAUAUUAAAAUUUAAUAAACUUUUAAUUUUUGAAGUCAUUGAUUUAUGAAUAGUUGAUCCAUUAUUAGUGAUUAAAAAUUUAAGUUACUUUAGGGAUAACAGCGUAAUUUUUUUGGAGAGUUCUUAUCGAUAAAAAAGAUUGCGACCUCGAUGUUGGAUUAAGAGAUAAGUUUAGGUGUAGCCGCUUAAAUAUUGAGUCUGUUCGACUUUUAAAUUCUUACAUGAUCU
rnacentral:rRNA from 1 species